rnacentral:lncRNA from 1 species
GGCACUUGUAUUCCAAAUUUCUGUAAUCUGUCAAUAGUAGUAAGUCUUUGUAGAGCAGCUAGCCAUACAAUGAAUUUGUGUCAUGUUGAACAUUAGUAGUUAGCAUCAGAUUCUUCCACUCUACCUUAUUGAAACUGGGAAUCAUUGCAAGGUAGAGUUUUUGAAUUUUGAAUUUAUCCAGCGUGCACACUCUUUUCAACCUGCUA